UACGUAGGGGGCGAGCGUUGUCCGGAGUUACUGGGCGUAAAGGGCAUGCAGGCGGUCCGACACGUUUUGUGUGACAGUGGGUGGCUUAACUACCCGAGGAUACGAAAGACGGUUGGACUUGAGGACUCGAGAGGGACACGGAAUUCCGGGUGGAGUGGUGAAAUGCGUAGAGAUCCGGAGGAACACCGAAGGCGAAGGCAGUGUCCUGGCGAGUGACUGACGCUGAGGUGCGAAAGCCAGGGGAGCGAACGGG
rnacentral:rRNA from 1 species